rnacentral:lncRNA from 1 species
CUCUCCCUUACACUAUUUACGUUUCUUUUACAAUCCGGAAAAAUCUAUAUUUCGAAAUAUGCUAAAUAUAUCCAAUCUACAUUGUAAUGACGUCAGUGAUAGAAUGCCACACUACUCAGAAGCAGGGAUAUCCUUCUACCAAUACGCGGCAACCAUCAAUAAGUUGAUUAUUUUGCCACUUUUGGAUGCGCAUUUAAAGUUUUGACAAGAAAUAAGUAUUAAUUGAUAAGAAUUUGUGCUAUACAUCAUAUAUACAGGGAUUUAAAAACACUUUGGAGUUGGUCUAGUUCAUCUUAUGUAGGUAAGUCUUGAGGCAUUCAAGACUACCUGCAUUGGUGGCAGUAUGUGGUAGGGCAUUCCAGUCUCGUAUCGUCCUUGGGUAAAAAGAUUCCUUCCACACUUCGGUCCUACAAGAUGGUACUUGGUAUCCAUUUGUGUUGAUGUUUCUGGAUAGCCUGUCUGUUGGAAUGAGAGUAUAAGUGGUGACAAAUUUCACCAUCCCGUUGGCAAGUUUAUACAUCAUUGUGAGCCUUGAUAUCCUCCUACGGUCUUCGAGGGGUUUCCACUCUAGUUGGUUAAGCAUGUCACUAGCAGAUGAUGUGUUAUGAUAUCCAUUAGCGACAUAUCUGGCUGCUUUCCUCUGUACCAUUUCCAGUUGGUUUUUGUUGUUUUGUUGAUAGGGAUCCCAGACUACAUGCAUAUUCUAGAGUCGGUCUCACAAGUUAUUUGUCUGCAGUUUCUUUUAUUGUGUUGUUAUUGAUGUUCAAGUUACGUUUGGGGAAGCCUAUGGUCUUGUGUGCCUUAACACAUAUGUUUUUGAUGUGUUCAUUCCUAUUUAAGUCGGAGCUGAUGGUGCAACCAAGGUACUUUGCAGAGUUAAAAGAUUCGAGGAUGUGGCCAUGCAGUACAUAUUCUUUUAUAAUAGACUUGCAUUUUCUUGUUAUGGUAAGAACAUUACAUUUAUCUGGAUGAAAUGCCAUUUGCCAUUUGUUUUCCCAAAUUGCCAGCUUAUUUAGAUCUUCCUGAAGGUGGUCGCUGUCUGUGUCUGAUGGUAUUGUGAGAUAUAUGAUUGUAUCAUCAGCAAAGAGUCUUACCCUUGAUCGGAUUCCCUCUGGCAUGUCAUUUAUAUAGAAAAGGAACAAACUGGGUCCAAGAACUGAUCCUUGUGUGACGCCUGAAUCGACGUUGAUUGUAUAUCAGAUUUUUCCCCUUCUACAACUACGACUUGUUUUCUGUUGGCCAGGAAGUUUGUGAUCCACCUGUUGGUUUUGUUGGUUCCGGUACGGCUGUUGUUAUAUAUUUAUCUUUAAUAUACUUAUCCUUUACUGAUUAUUAAAAACAUUCUCAGAAUUAGUGCACUAAUUUAAAACCGGUAUUUAUUUACCGUACUAUGGACAUAAUUAUGUUUGCUGUAGUUGAUUCAAACAUCAAUAUGGUGCAUUGCUUUUAUUUCUAGGUCAGCUUAUGUGGUUUUUAUAAGUACAUGUAUCCCUGUGAUGAGAGUUGUAACUGGGAACUUUUGAAAUGUAAAACUGAAUAGAUUUUUCAGUCCUGACUUUCUUGAGAAAAAAAAAUCUUAGAGUACUGUCACAAAAAAUGGAGAAUGACCCUAGCCUGCAGUUAAGUGGUACACAAUUAAAAUUUCAAAAAAUAUUGUAGUAGUUGUUAAAUGAUAGAAAUCAGUUGAAUAUUAGAUAAUUAACUUUUAUCUUUAAUCAAUUGCUUUGAUUGAGAAGUUGCAAUUCUCUUCCAUUGGUCCAAAUUGACUGCAUGAUGAAUUCUUAACUAAGCAAAUGAAAUUACAUUAAACAACAAUUGAUUGCAAUAUUGUCAACCUUUAUACAUGUUCUAGCUGUCAUUUUGUUCAUUCAUUGUAUGUAGACUAUCAAAGGAUACACCCCCCCUCCAAAAAACAAGAAACAAUGGCCGUCUUUCCCCUCAGGGCUCUUCAGCUCUUUAAUUAUUUAUUUUUAUAUGAAAUAUAUACAACAAAAAACUGUAGGUAACAAAUUACUAAUGCAUAUAUACUGCUGUACAUUUGAUUAAUUUCAAGUAAUUGGUAGAUCCACUCUAAGAACAGAAAGAAGAUCUUUUUAAAAAUGUAAGAGACAGAGUU